AGGGUUCCUGUCCAACGUUAAUCGGGGCAGGGUGAGUCGACCCCUAAGGCGAGGCCGAAAGGCGUAGUCGAUGGGAAACAGGUUAAUAUUCCUGUACUUGGUGUUACUGCGAAGGGGGGACGGAGAAGGCUAUGUUGGCCGGGCGACGGUUGUCCCGGUUUAAGCGUGUAGGCUGGUUUUCCAGGCAAAUCCGGAAAAUCAAGGCUGAGGCGUGAUGACGAGGCACUACGGUGCUGAAGCAACAAAUGCCCUGCUUCCAGGAAAAGCCUCUAAGCAUCAGGUAACAUCAAAUCGUACCCCAAACCGACACAGGUGGUCAGGUAGAGAAUACCAAGGCGCUUGAGAGAACUCGGGUGAAGGAACUAGGCAAAAU
rnacentral:rRNA from 1 species